UUAGCUUACUGAAAUGUCUCUCUCCACCAGCAACAGUCAUAGGCAGUGUGGAAACAAACUGCCAUGCUGAGCCUUUAAGGGGCGGGGCUUAGAGCAGCUGCAGCAUACAGACGAAAAAGAGAGAAAAAAAAGAGUAGAGUGUAAAGGGAGUAUAGUUUAUGUUCGCAUUUUGUUUUAACUUGCUGUUUGCCGUUUAUUGAUACUCCUCGAUGUGUGUGCGUGGAAAUACAAGAACCACACACAAUUACCUAAAUAAACCGCAAGUACGAGUUGAA